rnacentral:rRNA from 1 species
UAGUCCACGCCGUAAACGAUGUCUACUAGCCGUUGGGAGACUUGAUUUCUUAGUGGCGCAGCUAACGCAAUAAGUAGACCGCCUGGGGAGUACGGCCGCAAGGUUAAAACUCAAAUGAAUUGACGGGGGCCCGCACAAGCGGUGGAGCAUGUGGUUUAAUUCGAUGCAACGCGAAGAACCUUACCAGGUCUUGACAUCCUCAGAACUUGUUAGAGAUAACUUGGUGCCUUCGGGAAUUGAGUGACAGGUGCUGCAUGGCUGUCGUCAGCUCGUGUCGUGAGAUGUUGGGUUAAGUCCCGCAACGAGCGCAACCCUUGUCCCUAGUUGCCAGCACAUAAUGGUGGGAACUCUAGGGAGACUGCCGGUGACAAACCGGAGGAAGGUGGGGAUGACGUCGAGUCAUCAUGGCCCUUAUGGGUAGGGCUACACACGUGCUACAAUGGUCGGUACAGAGGGUUGCCAAGCCGCGAGGUGGAGCUAAUCUCAGAAAACCGAUCGUAGUCCGGAUUGG